GAUGAACGCUGGCGGCGUGCUUAACACAUGCAAGUCGAACGGUGAAGCCAAGCUUGCUUGGUGGAUCAGUGGCGAACGGGUGAGUAACACGUGAGCAACCUGCCCUGGACUCUGGGAUAAGCGCUGGAAACGGCGUCUAAUACUGGAUAUGAGCUCUCAUCGCAUGGUGGGGGUUGGAAAGAUUUUUCGGUCUGGGAUGGGCUCGCGGCCUAUCAGCUUGUUGGUGAGGUAAUGGCUCACCAAGGCGUCGACGGGUAGCCGGCCUGAGAGGGUGACCGGCCACACUGGGACUGAGACACGGCCCAGACUCCUACGGGAGGCAGCAGUGGGGAAUAUUGCACAAUGGGCGGAAGCCUGAUGCAGCAACGCCGCGUGAGGGAUGACGGCCUUCGGGUUGUAAACCUCUUUUAGCAGGGAAGAAGCGAGAGUGACGGUACCUGCAGAAAAAGCGCCGGCUAACUACGUGCCAGCAGCCGCGGUAAUACGUAGGGCGCAAGCGUUAUCCGGAAUUAUUGGGCGUAAAGAGCUCGUAGGCGGUUUGUCGCGUCUGCUGUGAAAUCCCGAGGCUCAACCUCGGGCCUGCAGUGGGUACGGGCAGACUAGAGUGCGGUAGGGGAGAUUGGAAUUCCUGGUGUAGCGGUGGAAUGCGCAGAUAUCAGGAGGAACACCGAUGGCGAAGGCAGAUCUCUGGGCCGUAACUGACGCUGAGGAGCGAAAGGGUGGGGAGCAAACAGGCUUAGAUACCCUGGUAGUCCACCCCGUAAACGUUGGGAACUAGUUGUGGGGACCAUUCCACGGUUUCCGUGACGCAGCUAACGCAUUAAGUUCCCCGCCUGGGGAGUACGGCCGCAAGGCUAAAACUCAAAGGAAUUGACGGGGACCCGCACAAGCGGCGGAGCAUGCGGAUUAAUUCGAUGCAACGCGAAGAACCUUACCAAGGCUUGACAUACACCAGAACACCGUAGAAAUACGGGACUCUUUGGACACUGGUGAACAGGUGGUGCAUGGUUGUCGUCAGCUCGUGUCGUGAGAUGUUGGGUUAAGUCCCGCAACGAGCGCAACCCUCGUUCUAUGUUGCCAGCACGUAAUGGUGGGAACUCAUGGGAUACUGCCGGGGUCAACUCGGAGGAAGGUGGGGAUGACGUCAAAUCAUCAUGCCCCUUAUGUCUUGGGCUUCACGCAUGCUACAAUGGCCGGUACAAAGGGCUGCAAUACCGUGAGGUGGAGCGAAUCCCAAAAAGCCGGUCCCAGUUCGGAUUGAGGUCUGCAACUCGACCUCAUGAAGUCGGAGUCGCUAGUAAUCGCAGAUCAGCAACGCUGCGGUGAAUACGUUCCCGGGUCUUGUACACACCGCCCGUCAAGUCAUGAAAGUCGGUAACACCUGAAGCCGGUGGCCCAACCCUUGUGGAGGGAGCCGUCGAAGGUGGGAUCGGUAAUUAGGACUAAGUCGUAACAAGGUAGCCGUACCGGAAGG
rnacentral:rRNA from 1 species